CACCAGAUCCUUAACCCACUGAGGGAAGCCAGGAAUUGAACCCGAAACCUCAUGGUUCCUAGUCAGAUUCAUUUCCGCUGCGCCACAACGGAAACUCUUGUGUCAUUUUAAAAACUGGGAGUGAACCGCAUCCCACAAGGGAGAGAUGGAUUCCAGGGAUGAAGCAGGGAGGCUCAGACGGUGAACUUGAACUCAUGCGCCCAAGGUCACAAAGGCUGCUCGUGGGCAGGCUGGGCUUCAGCCGCAGUUCUUGCUGAUUCAGGGAAUCGUGGCUACUGGCCACCUCGUCUACACUCCCGGCAGCUCUGUAAGAUGGUGGUGUUCUCUGCUCUGUUGUAUAGACCUGGAAACUGAGGACUCAAGAGGAUCAGAAGUCACCCAGCUGGUAGGUGACGGAGCCCCACCCCAGAGGCUGGUGGAGGCUUCAGCAUCCCUGCUCUCCGCACCGGAAGGGUCCUGACUCGAGCUCAGGACCUGGCACGUUUGGAGCCUGAGGGGGCUCUGGUCACCAGGCAGCUGGGAUGGUGAUGGACGCACUGCGGGCUCUGGGGUGCCCUGAGUUGACUUCGCUGUUAACUAACCGUCGGCUGACGUGACCCCUCUGGUCUCUGAAAUCCCACUGACCCGGGUUCUGCCUUGAACCAGCUCUGAGACCCAAACGUAAGCCCAUCGUGUCCUGUCUGAGGGCUGUCGCCUGGGGGUCAGUGGGGGUGAUAAGGUGCACAGGGCGGUCUGAGGGUGCGGGGGUAACCGCCCCCAGUGCGCUCCCUACAGCGGAUGGCGCUCUGCUUGUCCCUGGGCCCUUUCCUCCCUCAGGCCUGGGGUCUACUCUUCUCUGGGGUGGGCUGAACCAUGGCCCCCAAAGGACACUGGUCCCCAAUGCCAGAGCCUGUGAAUGUGCUACUUCACAUGACAAAAGGGGCUUUGCAGCCCAGCCGGGAUACAGUCACCUGCGUCGGGGAGAGUCGCCAGGAUUCUCCAGGCGGGCUCAUCUCAAUCGCACGGAGCCCUUAACAGGGGGAGCGGAGGCGGGAGGCAGAAGGGUGGGUCAGGGGGACUCAACCAGGCGCUGCUGGCUCUGCGGCCGGAGGAAGGCAGCCUGGGUCCCCGCCGACAGCCAGCGAGGAAACGGGGCCUCAGUCCUGCAACCACAAGGAACUGAAUUCAGCCUAUGACUCAACGAACCAGGAAAACAGACAGAUUCUUCUCCGGAACCUACUGGACUUCCAGCUCCUGGGAGCUGAGAGGUCAUCAGUCUGUGUGGUUUUAAGCCUCGAGGAUUGUGGCAGCUGGUAUGGCAGCAAUAGAAAAUGAUACUCUCCUCAAACCCCCCUCUGCAGGGAAUGAGGGUCCGUCCUCCCCUCAGCCUUGGGUGGAUCCACCAGUGGGGCUCCCAGCCCUGCUCUCCUGAAUCAACACGCAGGAUCACUUUCCGCUGGCUGGAACGCGGGCAGGACGGUGGAGCCCUGCAAAGGCCAGGGUCACUUGGCUUUGUGGCCAAAUAAAGCUCUGGAUGUAAGUGUACUUGUUUUGAAGAGAAGCCAAGGGAGUUCCCAUUGUGGCUCACUGGUGACAGACCUGACUAGUAUCCAUGAGAACAAGGGUUCGAUCCCCGGCCUCACUCAGAGGUUUAAGGAUCUGGCGUUGCCAUGAGCCGUGGUAUAGGUCGCAGAUACGGCUUAGAUCUAGCGUGGCUGUGACUGGGGUAUAAGCUGGCUACUACGGCUCCAAUCCAAUUAGACUCCCACCUCGGGAACUUCCAUAUACCGUGGGUGUGGACCUAAAACAAAUAAAUAAAUAAAUGAAAUAAAAAGAAGCCAAGUGCUGACCCACUUUGCCCAGACUGCUCCGGCUCAGACUUGUCCCUCUAGAAGGAAAUUUAUUUCCAGUACAUGCUGUUCCCAGGGCUGACAUCACCCACCUCAGUCAGAAGGAAAAGUACUUAUGAGAGCUCUCAGGAGCCAGCGGCCAAUCUGAUAAUGGAGCAGAAGUUCUGCAAAAAGCUGGCAUUUAUUAAAAACUGCAUCAGCCUGGUGAUGGAGUUUGCCCUGAGUUAGAAUCUCCAGCUAAGAGAAAUGCUUGUGGCAUUUGGUCCCUGGCACUCCAGCCAUCCUGAGCAUAUCCUGGCAGGCCACAAAGUAGCAGCAGCCUGGCUUACGGCAGGGGUGACUGCCCUUGCCUCCCCAGUGGCCACAAGUCUCUGAGUUCCGUGCCUGGGUUCUGUUGAGGGUGGCUCUGCUGGUCCCCUCUCCGAGGCUGGCACCAACACUUACAGAGAUGCAGCAGGUGGGGUCAGAGGCGUAGACUGGAGGUGGCCGACCUCCGCUUAUGCUGGCGCUCCUUUCACUAACCUGACAGAGAGCCUCAGCUACCCACCUGUGCUCGUCACCAACUUGGUUGUUUAAACAACACUUUAUUUUUUUUUCUCUUGAAGUUCUGGGGGACAGAAGUCCUGGAAUCAGAGCGUUGGCAGGGCUGUGUCCCCCCGGAAGUCCUAAGGGAGGACACACGCCUAGCUUUUUCCAGCGUCCAGGGCUGCCUGCAUUCCCCAGCUCGUGGCCCCUUCCUCCGAGUUCACAGGCAGCACUUGGGGCUUUCGGCUCUCUCUUUCAUCACCGCA